rnacentral:rRNA from 1 species
GUGCCAGCAAGCCGCGGUAAAUACGUAGGGGGCAAGCGUUAUCCGGAUUUACUGGGGGUGUAAAGGGAGCGCAGACGGCCAAGCAAGUCUGAAGUGAAAUGCAUGGGCUCAACCCAUGAAUUGCUUUGGAAACUGUUAGGCUUGAGUGUCGGAGAGGUAAGCGGAAUUCCUAGUGUAGCGGUGAAAUGCGUAGAUAUUAGGAGGAACACCGGAGGCGAAGGCGGCUUACUGGACGACAACUGACGUUGAGGCUCGAAGGCGUGGGGAGCAAACAGGAUUAGAU